rnacentral:rRNA from 1 species
AUUGAACGCUGGCGGCAGGCCUAACACAUGCAAGUCGAACGGUAGCACAGAGAGCUUGCUCUCGGGUGACGAGUGGCGGACGGGUGAGUAAUGUCUGGGAAACUGCCCGAUGGAGGGGGAUAACUACUGGAAACGGUAGCUAAUACCGCAUAAUGUCGCAAGACCAAAGAGGGGGACCUUCGGGCCUCUUGCCAUCGGAUGUGCCCAGAUGGGAUUAGCUUGUUGGUGAGGUAAUGGCUCACCAAGGCGACGAUCCCUAGCUGGUCUGAGAGGAUGACCAGCCACACUGGAACUGAGACACGGUCCAGACUCCUACGGGAGGCAGCAGUGGGGAAUAUUGCACAAUGGGCGCAAGCAUGAUGCAGCCAUGCCGCGUGUGUGAAGAAGGCCUUCGGGUUGUAAAGGACUUUCAGCGGGGAGGAAGGCAAUGCGGUUAAUAACCGUGUUGAUUGACGUUACCCGCAGAAGAAGCACCGGCUAACUCCGUG